rnacentral:rRNA from 1 species
GAUGAACGCUGGCGGCGUGCUUAACACAUGCAAGUCGAACGGAAAGGCUCCUGCUUGCAGGGGUACUCGAGUGGCGAACGGGUGAGUAACACGUGGGUGAUCUGCCCUGCACUUCGGGAUAAGCCUGGGAAACUGGGUCUAAUACCGGAUAGGACGAUGGUUUGGAUGCCAUUGUGGAAAGUUUUUCGGUGUGGGAUGAGCUCGCGGCCUAUCAGCUUGUUGGUGGUGUAAUGGCCUACCAAGGCGUCGACGGGUAGCCGGCCUGAGAGGGUGUACGGCCACAUUGGGACUGAGAUACGGCCCAGACUCCUACGGGAGGCAGCAGUGGGGAAUAUUGCACAAUGGGCGCAAGCCUGAUGCAGCGGCGCCGCGUGGGGGAUGACGGCCUUCGGGUUGUAAACUCCUUUCGCUAGGGACGAAGCGCAAGUGACGGUACCUGGAGAAGAAGCACCGGCUAACUACGUG